rnacentral:rRNA from 1 species
CCUACGGGGGGCUGCAGUGGGGAAUAUUGGACAAUGGGCGAAAGCCUGAUCCAGCCAUGCCGCGUGUGUGAAGAAGGCCUUCGGGUUGUAAAGCACUUUCAGUGGGGAAGAAAGCCUUGGGGCUAAUACCCUCGAGGAAGGACAUCACCCACAGAAGAAGCACCGGCUAACUCCGUGCCAGCAGCCGCGGUAAUACGGAGGGUGCGAGCGUUAAUCGGAAUUACUGGGCGUAAAGCGCGCGUAGGCGGUCUGAUAAGCCGGUUGUGAAAGCCCCGGGCUCAACCUGGGAACGGCAUCCGGAACUGUCAGGCUAGAGUGCAGGAGAGGAAGGUAGAAUUCCCGGUGUAGCGGUGAAAUGCGUAGAGAUCGGGAGGAAUACCAGUGGCGAAGGCGGCCUUCUGGACUGACACUGACGCUGAGGUGCGAAAGCGUGGGUAGCAAACAGGAUUAGAUACCCGGGUAGC